GACGAACGCUGGCGGCGUGCCUAAUACAUGCAAGUAGAACGCUGAAGGAGGAGCUUGCUUCUCCGGAUGAGUUGCGAACGGGUGAGUAACGCGUAGGUAACCUGCCUGGUAGCGGGGGAUAACUAUUGGAAACGAUAGCUAAUACCGCAUAACAGUAGAUAUUGCAUGAUAUCUGCUUGAAAGGUGCAAUUGCAUCACUACCAGAUGGACCUGCGUUGUAUUAGCUAGUUGGUGAGGUAACGGCUCACCAAGGCGACGAUACAUAGCCGACCUGAGAGGGUGAUCGGCCACACUGGGACUGAGACACGGCCCAGACUCCUACGGGAGGCAGCAGUAGGGAAUCUUCGGCAAUGGACGGAAGUCUGACCGAGCAACGCCGCGUGAGUGAAGAAGGUUUUCGGAUCGUAAAGCUCUGUUGUAAGAGAAGAACGAGUGUGAGAGCGGAAAGUUCACACUGUGACGGUAUCUUACCAGAAAGGGACGGCUAACUACGUGCCAGCAGCCGCGGUAAUACGUAGGUCCCGAGCGUUGUCCGGAUUUAUUGGGCGUAAAGCGAGCGCAGGCGGUUAGAUAAGUCUGAAGUUAAAGGCUGUGGCUUAACCAUAGUACGCUUUGGAAACUGUUUAACUUGAGUGCAAGAGGGGAGAGUGGAAUUCCAUGUGUAGCGGUGAAAUGCGUAGAUAUAUGGAGGAACACCGGUGGCGAAAGCGGCUCUCUGGCUUGUAACUGACGCUGAGGCUCGAAAGCGUGGGGAGCAAACAGG
rnacentral:rRNA from 1 species